rnacentral:misc_RNA from 1 species
GAUGAAGAACGUAGCGAAAUGCGAUACGUAAUGUGAAUUACAGAAUUCAGUGAAUCAUCGAGUCUUUGAACGCUCAUUGCGCCCCCUGGUAUUCCGGGGGGCAUGCCUGUCCGAGCGUCAUUGCUGCCCUCAAGCACGGCUUGUGUGUUGGGCCUCCGUCCUCCUCCCGGGGGACGGGCCCGAAAGGCAGCGGCGGCACCGCGUCCGGUCCUCGAGCGUAUGGGGCUUCGUCACCCGCUCUUGUAGGCCCGGCCGGCGCUUGCCGACACAUCAAUCUUUUUUCCAGGUUGACCUCGGAUCAGGUAGGGAUACCCGCUGAACUUAAGCAUAUCAAUAAGCGGAGGA